rnacentral:rRNA from 1 species
UAGGGAAUUUUCCACAAUGGGCGAAAGCCUGAUGGAGCAACACCGCGUGCAGGAUGAAGGCUUUCGGGUCGUAAACUGCUUUUACUAGUGACGAAUAUGACGGUAACUAGAGAAUAAGGAUCGGCUAACUACGUG